rnacentral:rRNA from 1 species
GGAUGAACGCUGGCGGCGUGCCUACUCCAUGCAAGUCGAGCGAACGGCCGAGAAGCUUGCUUUUCUGAUGUUAGCGGCGGACGGGUGAGUAACACGUGGAUAACCUACCUAUAAGACUGGGAUAACUUCGGGAAACCGGAGCUAAUACCGGAUAAUAUUUUGAACCGCAUGGUUCAAAAGUGAAAGACGGUCUUGCUGUCACUUAUAGAUGGAUCCGCGCUGCAUUAGCUAGUUGGUAAGGUAACGGCUUACCAAGGCAACGAUGCAUAGCCGACCUGAGAGGGUGAUCGGCCACACUGGAACUGAGACACGGUCCAGACUCCUACGGGAGGCAGCAGUAGGGAAUCUUCCGCAAUGGGCGAAAGCCUGACGGAGCAACGCCGCGUGAGUGAUGAAGGUCUUCGGAUCGUAAAACUCUGUUAUUAGGGAAGAACAUAUGUGUAAGUAACUGUGCACAUCUUGACGGUACCUAAUCAGAAAGCCACGGCUAACUACGUG